rnacentral:rRNA from 1 species
CCUACGGGCGGCAGCAGUGGGGAAUAUUGGACAAUGGGGGCAACCCUGAUCCAGCCAUGCCGCGUGUGUGAAGAAGGCCCUCGGGUUGUAAAGCACUUUCAGUGAGGAAGAACGCCUGGUGGUUAAUACCCAUCAGGAAAGACAUCACUCACAGAAGAAGCACCGGCUAACUCCGUGCCAGCAGCCGCGGUAAUACGGAGGGUGCGGGCGUUAAUCGGAAUUACUGGGCGUAAAGCGCGCGUAGGUGGCUUGAUAAGCCGGUUGUGAAAGCCCCGGGCUCAACCUGGGAACGGCAUCCGGAACUGUCAAGCUAGAGUGCAGGAGAGGAAGGUAGAAUUCCCGGUGUAGCGGUGAAAUGCGUAGAGAUCGGGAGGAAUACCAGUGGCGAAGGCGGCCUUCUGGACUGACACUGACACUGAGGUGCGAAAGCGUGGGUAGCAAACAGGAUUAGAUACCCGUGUAGUC